rnacentral:tRNA from 1 species
GGGCCUGUGGUCUAGUGUCCAAUAGAUUGCAAUUAAUUUUAGCAUAUCGCGGCUAGAAGCUAUGACGUCGCCUCGACAAGGCGGAGAUCGAGUGUUCAAAUCACUCCAGGCCCA